AACUUUCAACAACGGAUCUCUUGGUUCUCGCAUCGAUGAAGAACGCAGCGAAAUGCGAUAAGUAGUGUGAAUUGCAGAAUUCAGUGAAUCAUCGAAUCUUUGAACGCACAUUGCGCCUCCUGGUACUCCGGGAGGCAUGCCUGUCCGAGCGUCAUU
rnacentral:rRNA from 1 species